rnacentral:lncRNA from 1 species
GAACAGAUAUAUCUGCUCAAAGUGUGUAUCUUCCUCCAGGAUCAGUGAGGUCAUUUUCCCAGAUAAAGAGGAACUUUAUUCUUCCAGUGCAUAGUUCAGCUUCUGAAAUGGAGACAAGAGAGAAUGACCCAUCACCUCCCCAUGAAUGCAGCCAAACUGGAUGUGACAAGAUGUGGCACCACCCAGCAGAGCUCAUCUUCUCUGUCCUGCAGAAUGUUGUUGAUGAGGCAUGGACCCUUACUGAAGGUGUGACUUGGCAGAAAGGGGCUGUGCCCAGAGACCAGAAGUUUGGGGACCAAAAUAAUGCAGCCACUUCCCUUCUACACGUCCCUUCCUGGAACUGGGGUUUCAAUUGUUCAACAAAUUGCAGG